rnacentral:rRNA from 1 species
GACGAACGCUGGCGGCGUGCUUAACACAUGCAAGUCGAACGGUAAGGCCCUUCGGGGUACACGAGUGGCGAACGGGUGAGUAACACGUGGGUGAUCUGCCCUGCACUUCGGGAUAAGCCUGGGAAACUGGGUCUAAUACCGGAUAGGACCCUGGGAUGCAUGUCCUGGGGUGGAAAGCUUUUGCGGUGUGGGAUGGGCCCGCGGCCUAUCAGCUUGUUGGUGGGGUGAUGGCCUACCAAGGCGACGACGGGUAGCCGGCCUGAGAGGGUGACCGGGCACACUGGGACUUGGAUACGGCCCAGACUCCUACGGGAGGCAGCAGUGGGGAAUAUUGCACAAUGGGCGCAAGCCUGAUGCAGCGACGCCGCGUGAGGGAUGACGGCCUUCGGGUUGUAAACCUCUUUCAGCACCGACGAAGCGCAAGUGACGGUAGGUGCAGAAGAAGGACCGGCCAACUACGUACCAGCAGCCGCCGUAA